GGAGUUACAGUUCACCAUGUUGGUCAGGCUGGUCUCGAACUCCUGAUCUCAAGUGAUCUGCCCACCUCAGCCUCCCAAAGACAUGGUCUCGCUAUGUUGCCCAGGCUGCUCUCAAGCAAUCCUCCUGUCUUGGCCUCCCAAAGUGCAGGUAUUACAGGCCUGAGCCACGGUACCUGGCCUAGACUACAAUUUUCUGUUGUCUCUCUUACAAACAGCAACUAAUUCAUGCUUGAGCAUUGGUAGAGUUAUAUGCUCUUCAUCAAGUGACAGCAAUGAAAUUCUGUCCAGGGCUGGGCAUAGUGCCUCACAUCUGUAAUCCCAAUACUUUGGGAGGCCUACGCAGGUAGACUGCUUGAGGUCAGGAGUUCAAGACCAGCCUAGCCAAUAUAGUGAAACCCUGUCUCUACAAAAAAAAAAAAAAAAGCCAAGCACGAUACUGUGUGCCUGUGAUCCCAGCUACUCAUGAGGCUGAGGUGGGAGGAUCACUUGAGCCCAGGAGGUCGGGGCUGCAGUGAGCAAUGACUGCACCAUUGCACUCCAACCUGGGUAAGAGACCCUGUCUCAAAACAAAAAAACAAAAACAAAAAAAAAGAAAAGAAAUUAGGUCCAGAGGAAGCAAACUAUUAUUUUGUAGCAUCUCUGCUUUCAAAAUUUUGGAACACGAUUCCAAACUCAAAAUACUUUUUUUUUUUUUUAAGGGUAAUUCCUAUUAUUUGAUCUCAACACCCCUGAGGUAAGUACACAUAUUUCCCCAUUUUGAUGCAGAAAAAGAGACGGGGGCAGUGAAAUGGCCUGUCACAAUUACAUAGCUAGUUUAUGGUAGAGCUGAAUCUAAUACCCAGAUCUUUUAAAUACACGCUUUUUCAUCACUCACAUUGGUUCACACUUCUCAAUUUCCUGAAACUAUUUCUUUGUAGCUCCAUUUCAACCAGUAUGAAAUGCCAAAUCUAUCUCCUGGCAAUCUCAUAAAUUUCACUGUAUGAUGUGCCAAGUUAAGUGUUUGUUUUGGCCUUGGCAGCAGAUGCCCUGAUUAUGUCCACUAAUGCAAACAGCUCACCAGUCUAUCACUCUUCCUAAUUGAUUCAGCUCCUUUACACCGUUGGCUAUCAUUCUCUUUCAUAUGGCUUACUUUCGCUAGGUAAGAACUUUUCCAAGAUUUAAGCUGCUUGAUCAACCAAACAUUAUAAACCUACCUUUGAUUUCAGCAGACUUGA
rnacentral:lncRNA from 10 species